rnacentral:rRNA from 1 species
UACGAAGGGGGCGAGCGUUGUUCGGAUUUACUGGGCGUAAAGGGCGCGCAGGCGGUUCUGUUUGUCGAGUGUGAAAGCCCCGGGCUCAACCUGGGAACUGCGCUCGAAACGGCGGAACCAGAGUUCGGGAGAGGAGAGUGGAAUUCCCAGUGUAGAGGUGAAAUUCGUAGAUAUUGGGAAGAACACCGGUGGCGAAGGCGGCUCUCUGGACCGAUACUGACGCUGAGGCGCGAAAGCGUGGGGAGCAAACAGG